rnacentral:lncRNA from 1 species
CGCCCCCCAAGGACCUGUGGGCUCCUCGGCCGGGUGGCCAACCGGCGGAGGGUUGGAGGGCUCGGGGGGUCUUUCAGAGGGACCCUCCUCCUGACCUGUCUCUUCUUCCCCAGCUGUCUGCACGCCUCGGUGCCGGAAUGGGGGCCAGUGCAAAGCCCCCCAGCGCUGCACCUGCCCGGCGGGCUUCACGGGUCCUCGCUGUGAGCACUCUGUCGCCACCACUGCUGCUCCCGCCACCCCAACCCAGCUCCCCAGGGCUCCCCUGGAAGCAGUGGCCAUUCGCUGGCAGCCCUUGACGUGAGUGGGAAGGGGCGGGAGGAAAGAGGCUGCCUGACUCCCUCUUCCCGCAUACAUCCCCGAGGGGACCCCUUAGCUUGCUUGGGGUGCCCCCCAGGGGAAGGAGGAGAGGAGGCACUCUUGUAUGGGCUGCUCAGGGAAGGUUCUGCUGGGAAACAUUGGCAAACAAACCCAGAGACUACGAAGGACGGUUUUUGGAGCCGACCGGUAAACGGAACAACCAGGUGCCAAGACUGGGUAGCCUUCGCCUGCGGAGUUCUAAACAAACUUGGAAGGGAAGUGCUGCCUGUUUAAAGGAAAACGUGUGGCUUAUUGCUACCAUCUGCUGCUUGGCCGGAGGACUGGGCUUGCUGAACUCCAGGUGGUGCUUCAGAGGCGCAAGGCUUUGGGUCCUUCAGAGAAGAUGGCCACGAUCCUGGCACAGCACCUGGCUUCCCGACCCGAUGGCGGUAGCAACGGCCCUCCCGGACACGGACCCCCAGCCACACGAAGGCCCCAUGGUACAGGGUACAGGGUGAGGGGCAAGGCCCAGGGCAGUGGGGAGUGGGCUUAGGGGGUGUCAGAGAGGAUGCGGGGGGGCCCCUGCUCUGUUAGGUAAAGGCGAGCAAGAGGGACACGGCCAAACAAGAUUUCUUGGGAGCUGUGUAGAUGCUUCUUCUUCAAGGUGGA